AGAGUUUGAUCCUGGCUCAGAUUGAACGCUGGCGGCAGGCUUAACACAUGCAAGUCGAGCGGGGAAGGGUANCUUGCUACCUGNCCUAGCGGCGGACGGGUGAGUAAUGCUUAGGAAUCUGCCUAUUAUUGGGGGACAACAUUCCGAAAGGAAUGNUAAUACCGCAUACGUCCUACGGGAGAAAGCAGGGGAUCUUCGGACCUUNCGCUAAUAGAUGAGCCUAAGUCAGAUUAGCUAGUUGGUGGGGUAAAGGCCUACCAAGGCGACGAUCAGUAGCUGGUCCGAGAGGAUGAUCAGCCACACUGGGACUGAGACACGGCCCAGACUCCUACGGGAGGCAGCAGUGGGGAAUUUUCCGCAAUGGGCGAAAGCCUGACGGAGCAAUGCCGCGUGAAGGCAGAAGGCCCACGGGUCAUGAACUUCUUUUCUCGGAGAAGAAAAAUGACGGUAUCUGAGGAAUAAGCAUCGGCUAACUCUGUGCCAGCAGCCGCGGUAAU
rnacentral:rRNA from 1 species